GAUUAACGCUAGCGGCAGGCAUAAUACAUGCAAGUUGAACGGCAGCACAGGUAGCAAUACUGGGUGGCGAGUGGCGCACGGGUGCGUAACACGUAUGCAACCUACCCUAUACAGGCGAAUAACCUUUAGAAAUGAGGGCUAAUACGCCGUAGUAUUACAGAUGGGCAUCUAUUUGUAAUUAAAGAUUUAUCGGUAUAGGAUGGGCAUGCAUCCCAUUAGUUAGUUGGUAAGGUAACGGCUUACCAAGACGAUGAUGGGUAGGGGAUCUGAGAGGACUUACCCCCACACUGGUACUGAGACACGGACCAGACUCCUACGGGAGGCAGCAGUAAGGAAUAUUGGGCAAUGGCCGCGAGGCUGACCCAGCCAUGCCGCGUGCAGGAAGACGGCCUUAUGGGUUGUAAACUGCUUUUAUACGGGAAUAAUAGAGUGUACGCGUACAUUUAUGCAAGUAUCGUAUGAAUAAGCAUCGGCUAACUCCGUG
rnacentral:rRNA from 1 species